GAUGAACGCUGGCGGCGUGCCUAAUACAUGCAAGUCGAGCGAACAGACGAUGAGCUUGCUCCUCGGACGUUAGCGGCGCACGUGUGAGUAACACGUGUAUAACCUACCUAUAAGACUGGUAUAACUUCGGGAAACCGGAUCUAAUACCGGAUAAUCUAUUGAACCGCGUGGUGCAAUAGUGAGAUACGGUGGUUCUGUCUCUUAUAGAUGCAUCUCCGCCGCAUGAGAUAGUUGUUAAGGUAACGGGUUACCAAGGGAACGAUGCGUAGACGAAGUGAGAGGGUGAUCGGCGACCUUGGAAGUGAGACAGGGACAAGACUACUAAGGGAGGCAGCAGUAGGCAACGUGACGCAAUGGGCGAAAGUAUGACGGAGUAACGGGGAGUGAGAGAUGACGGUCCUGGGAUCGUAAAAACGUGUUAUGAGGGAAGAACAAAUGUGUAAGUAAAUAUGCACGUAUUGACGGUAAUUAAUAAGAAAGCACCGGCUAACUACGUG
rnacentral:rRNA from 1 species